AGCUUUUGAGAAAAGACAAAGAGAAAGACAGAUUGAUAUUGCUGACCAUAUAUUGAAAGAGGAAAAACAGAUGAAAAAACGAUAUCAACAGCAGCCGCAAUUGUGGCCUGAUAAACAAAGAGAGAGAUCCAAGAGAGCCACAAGGAGACGGCCAAAGCCUAAAUUUUUCAAGUCAACAAGUGGCUCAUCAUCGAUGGAGUACAGUGCUGAUGUGGAAGAUACCGGGGUAAGUGAAU